AUUGAACGCUGGCGGCAGGCUUAACACAUGCAAGUCGAGCGGUAGCACAAGAGAGCUUGCUCUCUGGGUGACGAGCGGCGGACGGGUGAGUAAUGUCUGGGAAACUGCCUGAUGGAGGGGGAUAACUACUGGAAACGGUAGCUAAUACCGCAUAACGUCGCAAGACCAAAGAGGGGGACCUUCGGGCCUCUUGCCAUCAGAUGUGCCCAGAUGGGAUUAGCUAGUAGGUGGGGUAAUGGCUCACCUAGGCGACGAUCCCUAGCUGGUCUGAGAGGAUGACCAGCCACACUGGAACUGAGACACGGUCCAGACUCCUACGGGAGGCAGCAGUGGGGAAUAUUGCACAAUGGGCGCAAGCCUAAUGCAGCCAUGCCGCGUGUGUGAAGAAGGCCUUCGGGUUGUAAAGCACUUUCAGCGAGGAGGAAGGUGGUGAACUUAAUACGUUCAUCAAUUGACGUUACUCGCAGAAGAAGCACCGGCUAACUCCGUG
rnacentral:rRNA from 1 species